rnacentral:lncRNA from 1 species
UAUUGCUAUAAAGAGUUUUCUUUGUCAGUCUCAAGGUCUCUGUCUUCAUAUUAAAAGCUGGUCAGUUGUGCCUGAAUUUUAAAGGGAAGAGGGUAAGUUAAGGCAUAUCCAAUCAUCCGUUCCGAUCAUGGGCUGCAUUGUAUUUCAGGUUGAUUUUGGUGUGUGCUUGGCUGAGAGGAGGAGUUCAUUCAGUUGGUUAGGGAGCUUAGAGUUUCAUUUUUGGUUUACACACCUAUGUCCAGGUAAGAGGGCCCCACACAGGAGGGCUUGCUCAGAACCUGGCUUGCAGGGCUGCUUACAGACCUUCUAUGUCUCCUGUUGUCAUGCACAAGGAAGGACACAGCCAAUGACAACCCUCAGCCAUCCGAGGAGAAGCUGUGUCUGCAGAGGACGGUCAUGAGCUAAGGCAGUGGGUGGUAUGACAGCACAGAGGGACUCUGUGGGUCCAGCUGCAUGGAGCACUCUGGGAGAGUCACUGGCACCCGUGCUAGACAGAGCUUCAUUCAACUUCUGGAGCACACGGAUUUAGAUCUCUUUACAUCAUUUUGAAAGACCACUUAUCAUUCUGAAGGAAACCACUGUAAUUAACUAAGGUAACAUCUUUAAUAGGUAGAAAGAAAAAACUGAUUAUUUUAUUGCCAAGAUGAUUACAAGAAAAGAAAGAAACAAAAAUAGCAUGAAGGAAAGAGCAACACUAGACUGAGGGCUUUGGGUAAGAGGUUGAGACUUAGUAGUGAAUGCCCUGGGCCAUCUUCUGUCAAAAGGGAGGGACAAUCAGCAAAGGGAAAUAUGCAGUAGAGGCAAAAUCUUGGUUAGUAAAAGAAUCCUAAGAGAAAACAAGAAGUCUCCUUCCUGAGCAUCAUGUUGGUGUCGGGAAGAUGCACAUAAUCCCCCCAUUGCAUGUCUUAACACUUUUCAGCAAUUAGGGCUCAGCACGAAUUUAGAAGACACCAUUCACUUCACAGCAGAUGGGGACACAGUCAAGGCAGCGGUGAGAGGCAAGGCUGGGCUUUCAGUCUCAGAGCACAGAGCAGGUUCCCCACUACUCCGCACCCUUGUGUCUCCUCCCAGAUGUUCCAGAUGUUCCACCUCAUUCUUGCCUUAAGGGCUCCAAGUUGUUAAUGGGACAGUAGCCCUCUUCCUUUCCCAGGGUUUCUAAGAAUUUGGCUCUCUUUUGUGUAUUGCGGGGUUUGUUUGCCAUCUAGAGGCAGGUUUUUGGCAUAGCAACUUAUAGGCUUUUUCUACUUGUGAUAGCGAAAAUAAAUACAUAAAUAAAUUCAUCAUAAAUAAUAAAUUGACUUAAUGCAUUGAAUCUGUAAAAAAAAAAAUAAGGUCAGUUUGAGAGCUUAAAAGGAGCCUGAUGAGGUUAAAAAGACAAAUUACCUUUAGUAAAGAGCAGUUGGAGCAAUAGAUGAUUCUUUCUUUAAUCAAUGACAUUUUAGGAGUAAUUAUCAAAU